AACGCGAAGAACCUUACCUACCCUUGACAUCCUCGGAAUUUGCUAGAGAUAGCGAAGUGCCUUCGGGAGCCGAGAGACAGGUGCUGCAUGGCUGUCGUCAGCUCGUGUCGUGAGAUGUUGGGUUAAGUCCCGUAACGAGCGCAACCCCUGUCCUUAGUUGCUAUCAGGUAAAGCUGGGAACUCUAAGGAGACUGCCGGUGAUAAGCCGGAGGAAGGUGGGGAUGACGUCAAGUCCUCAUGGCCCUUACGGGUAGGGCUACACACGUGCUACAAUGGGCCGUACAGAGGGAAGCGAAGCCGCGAGGUGGAGCGAAUCUUUUAAAGCGGCUCGUAGUCCGGAUUGGAGUCUGCAACUCGACUCCAUGAAGUUGGAAUCGCUAGUAAUCGCGGAUCAGAACGCCGCGGUGAAUACGUUCCCGGGCCUUGUACACACCGCACGA
rnacentral:rRNA from 1 species